rnacentral:rRNA from 1 species
ACUGAUUCUAGCCCAAGCACAUACCCACCCAACAAUAACAACUUAUUAAAAUAAAGCAUUUAACCGUCAGGAGUAUAGGAGAUAGAAACUCUACCAAGGCGCUAUAGAGAAAGUACCGUAAGGGAAAGAUGAAAGAUACCCCAACAGUAAAAAAAAGCAAAGAUUAACCCUUGUACCUUUUGCAUAAUGAACUAGCCAGAACAAGCUUAGCAAAGAGAACUUAAGUUAAACACCCCGAAACCAGACGAGCUACUUAUGAACAGCUGACAGAGCAAAUUCAUCUAUGUUGCAAAAUAGUGAAGUGAUUUGUAAGUAGAGGUGACAAGCCUACCGAGCCUGGUGAUAGCUGGUUGUCCAGUACAGAAUUUUAGUUCAACUUUAAGUCAUACCCAGAGAAAAACCAAUCCUAAUGUAGACUUAAAUGUUAAUCUAAGGGGGUACAGCUCCUUAGACUCAGGUAAAACCUUAUUUAGAGAGUAAAAAACCACACACCCAUAGUUGGCUUAAAAGCAGCCACCAAUUAAGAAAGCGUUCAAGCUCGACAGUAAACAAAUAUUUUGAUACCACCAUUCACAGUCAACUCCUAAAGCCAAACUGGACUAAUCUACAUCUAUGUAGAUGAGAUACUGCUAGCAUGAGUAACAAGAAGUAAUUCUCCCUGCACAAGCCUAUAUCAGAACGGAUGCCCGCUGAUAGUUAACAGCCCAAUAAAACUCAAUUAUCACCCAAGAUCUUUAUUAAACAAACUGUUGACCCAACACCGGAGUGCACAAACCAAAGGGAAAGAUUAAAAAGAGUAAAAGGAACUCGGCAAACAUAAACCCCGCCUGUUUACCAAAAACAUCACCUCUAGCAUAGUAAGUAUUAGAGGCACUGCCUGCCCAGUGACAUAAGUUAAACGGCCGCGGUAUCCUGACCGUGCAAAGGUAGCAUAAUCAUUUGUUCCUUAAUUAGGGACUUGUAUGAAUGGCCACACGAGGGUUUAACUGUCUCUUGCUCUCAAUCAGUGAAAUUGACCUCCCCGUGAAGAGGCGGGGAUAUCCAAACAAGACGAGAAGACCCUAUGGAGCUUUAAUUAACUAGCUCACAUACAGUCAACCUAACCCAAACGGAAAUAAAACAUGUAUCCUGAGCUAGCAAUUUUGGUUGGGGUGACCUCGGAGAACAGACCAUCCUCCGAAACAAUAAGCCAAGACAUGACAAGUCAAAGCAACUUAAACCGUAAUUGAUCCAAUAAAUUGAUCAAUGGAACCAGUUACCCUAGGGAUAACAGCGCAAUCCUAUUUUAGAGUCCAUAUCGACAAUAGGGUUUACGACCUCGAUGUUGGAUCAGGACAUCCCAAUGGUGCAACCGCUAUUAAUGGUUCGUUUGUUCAACGAUUAAAGUCCUACGUGAUCUGAGUUCAGACCGGAGUAAUCCAGGUCGGUUUCUAUCUAUUAGAUACUCCUCCCAGUACGAAAGGACAAGAGGAAUAAGGCCAAUUCACCAAGAACGCCUUAAACUUAAUAGAUGAAUUCAUCUAAAUCUAGUGAGUUAUCAUAACCCUGCCCAAGAGCAGGGCUC